rnacentral:rRNA from 1 species
CCUACGGGUGGCAGCAGUGGGGAAUAUUGCACAAUGGGGGAAACCCUGAUGCAGCGACGCCGCGUGAGUGAAGAAGGAAUUCGGUAUGUAAAGCUCUAUCAGCAGGGAAGAAAAUGACGGUACCUGAGUAAGAAGCCCCGGCUAACUCCGGGCCAGCAGCCGCGGUAAUACGGAGGGGGCAACCGUUAUCCGGAUUUACUGGGUGUAAAGGGAGCUUAGACGGCGGUGCAAGUCUGGGGUGAAAGCCGGGGGCUCAACCCCCGGACUGCUCUGGAAACUGUACGGCUGGAGUGCAGUAGAGGUAAGUGGAAUUCCUAGUGUAGCGGUGAAAUGCGUAGAUAUUAGGAGGAACACCAGUGGCGAAGGCGGCUUACUGGACUGUAACUGACGUUGAGGCUCGAAAGCGUGGGGAGCAAACAGGAUUAGAUACCCUUGUAGUC